AAAUGCGAUAAGUAGUGUGCAUUGCAGAAUUCAGUGAAUCAUCGAAUCUUUGAACGCACAUUGCGCCCCUUGGUAUUCCAUGGGGCAUGCCUGUUCGAGCGUCAUUUGUACCCUCAAGCUCUGCUUGGUGUUGGGUGUUUGUCCCGUCUCCGCGCGUGGACUCGCCCCAAAGUGAUUGGCAGCCGGCGUACUGGUCCCGGAGCGCAGCACAUGUCGCGCAAACGAGUGCCUUGGUACGGUGGCGUCCAUAAGCCCCUCUCUCACGCUCUUGACCUCGGAUCAGGUAGGGAUACCCGCUGAACUUAAGC
rnacentral:misc_RNA from 1 species